AUUGAACGCUGGCGGCAGGCUUAACACAUGCAAGUCGAGCGGAGAUGAGGUGCUUGCACCUUAUCUUAGCGGCGGACGGGUGAGUAAUGCUUAGGAAUCUGCCUAUUAGUGGGGGACAACAUUCCGAAAGGAAUGCUAAUACCGCAUACGCCCUACGGGGGAAAGCAGGGGAUCUUCGGACCUCGCGCUAAUAGAUGAGCAUAAGUCGGAUUAGCUAGUUGGUGGGGUAAAGGCCUACCAAGGCGACGAUCUGUAGCGGGUCUGAGAGGAUGAUCCGCCACACUGGGACUGAGACACGGCCCAGACUCCUACGGGAGGCAGCAGUGGGGAAUAUUGGACAAUGGGCGGAAGCCUGAUCCAGCCAUGCCGCGUGUGUGAAGAAGGCCUUUUGGUUGUAAAGCACUUUAAGCGAGGAGGAGGCUACCUGGAUUAAUACCCUAGGAUAGUGGACGUUACUCGCAGAAUAAGCACCGGCUAACUCUGUGCCAGCCGCCGCCGUAAAAC
rnacentral:rRNA from 1 species